AAUGACACAGAGCACUGUGAUUGGAUGGAUUUCAACCAUCCAAUCACAGUGCUCUGUGUCAUU
rnacentral:miRNA from 1 species